AAGAAGUUUAUUUUUUAGAUUUUGCAUACCUUCUUUGACUCUUCGUCUUAUUUAAAUUUUUUUUACGAUUAAUAUUUUUAUUUUAUUACAUGAUAAAACAUGAAUAAUACUUUACGCAUGACUAAUUUCUUUUUAAUUUUUUUAUAAAAAUUUUAAAUAAGACGGAUGGUCAAACACUGGACACAUAAAUC
rnacentral:pre_miRNA from 1 species